CAACGUUAUCUUUCCAUAAUUAAUAGGCUACUCGGCGAUGGAUGUGUGUUCACAGUAGGCCUACUUUAGCGACAUAGAUUAGAUACGACACUGGUCCACUUUUCGAAGGCAUCAUAUGCCUAUCGAACACAUCACAAAGACUCCUUUUAAUAUUAUUAUUGGUUAUUUGUACUUCAUAAUUAUAGGCCUAACUAAAUAGUUUUCAUGAACUUAUACUAGUAGAUCAGGGACCAUCUCAGACUCAGUGAAUGAUCUCACACGGGCGGAAGGAAGUAGGUAUGUUUUGUUGUAAACAAUAAUUUCUGACAUGCUCAAGUGCCCAAGAGCGAAGACACAGUCACAGGGGUAAAUCCUUCCUGUCACAAAGGUACGGUAAUGCUAUUCACAAGACAUACAAUUACAAGGACAGGUCUACAAAACCAAUUUAGAAGAAUGGCUACCAUGGGAUUCAAGUAUUCAGAGAAAAAGGGAGAUUUAUUUUCAUGUCCUGAAACAGAUGCACUUGUUCAUUGUAUUAGUUCUGAUUGUGCUAUGGGGAAAGGUAUUGCUGUUCUCUUUAAAAACAAGUUUGGUGGUGUGCAAGAA